rnacentral:rRNA from 1 species
GAGUUCAAGAGUACGUGAAACCGUUCAGGGGUAAACCUGAGAAACCCGAAAGGUCGAACGGGGAGAUUCAGACGCGUCUCGGAUAACCGCGGCGAGUUGGCGACGAGUGACGGUUGGCGUUCGCGCGCCGACCGCUCCGUCGCCUUUCCGUCCGCGGCCGAACGCGUGCACUUCUCCCCCUGUAGGACGUCGCGACCCGUUGGGUGCCGGUCUAAGGCCCGCGGCGGAGCCCGCUCGAGCUCGCUCGUUCGGACCCGCGGUGUCCCGACCGGCGACCACCGACGGUACGAUUGAGGCGCGGGGCCGCGAUCAGUUCGCGUCCGGCCGGUCGCAAGUUCGGACGUUUAACCCGAAAUUCGGACGCAGUGCCGGAUCCGGGCCCGUCCGACUGCUGGCGACCGUGCUCUCGGACAGACCCCGUACACGCCCGUCGGCGGCGCUAUAGCUUUGGGUACUUUCAGGACCCGUCUUGAAACACGGACCAAGGAGUCUAGCAUGUGCGCGAGUCAUUGGGACCACGACUAAACCUAAAGGCGCAAUGAAAGUGAAGGUCCGCCGUGCGCGGACCGAGGGAGGAUGGGCGGUUUCGAGGAACCGCCCCGCACUCCCGGGGCGUCUCGAUCUCAUCGCGAGAUGAGGCGCACCCAGAGCGUACACGCUGGGACCCGAAAGAUGGUGAACUAUGCCUGGUCAGGACGAAGUCAGGGGAAACCCUGAUGGAGGUCCGUAGCGAUUCUGACGUGCAAAUCGAUCGUCGGAACUGGGUAUAGGGGCGAAAGACUAAUCGAACCAUCUAGUAGCUGGUUC